CGGCACUGAUCUCAAUCCUGAGGUCUCUGCUUCCAUAAUGUAAUCACCUCCCAAAGCCCUGACCUUCUAAUACCAUCACCUUGGUGGUUAGGAUUUCAACAUAUGAAUUUUAGGGGAACAAAAGCAUUCAGUCCAUUGCCACAUAGUUGGUAGAAGACAAAUGAUGCAGAUGUUUAUGGUUAAAGCUUUUGUUUAGUUUUGUCAAGGGACUGGACAUAGUCUUAUAAUUAGCAAAUCUUAAUAAGCAACAGCACUGCUUCUCUCAGCAUGCACAUAGGCCUGCUGUGUGCUUAUAUAGCUUUGUGACAGUUCCCAAGUGUUUCCUGGAGAUGCAUCCUGUGGGUUGCAGUGCUACUGCUCUCCCCUUUUUUGUUUUUUUCUUUUUCUUUUUUUUGAGACAGAGUCUUACUCUGUUGCUGAGAUAGCGCCAUUGCACUGGAGCCUGGGCAACAAGAGCGAAACUCCUUCUCACAGAA
rnacentral:lncRNA from 10 species